rnacentral:rRNA from 1 species
CUCUGUGACUCCUACGGGAGGCAGCAGUGGGGAAUAUUGCACAAUGGGCGCAAGCCUGAUGCAGCCAUGCCGCGUGUGUGAAGAAGGCCUUCGGGUUGUAAAGCACUUUCAGUUGUGAGGAAGGUGGUGUCGUUAAUAGCGGCAUCAUUUGACGUUAGCAACAGAAGAAGCACCGGCUAACUCCGUGCCAGCAGCCGCGGUAAUACGGAGGGUGCGAGCGUUAAUCGGAAUUACUGGGACGUAAAGCGCAUGCAGGUGGUUUGUUAAGUCAGAUGUGAAAGCCCGGGGCUCAACCUCGGAACUGCUAUUUAGAAACUGGCAGACUAGAGUACUGUAGAGGGGGUAGAAUUUCAGGUGUAGCGGUGAAAUGCGUAGAGAUCUGAAGGAAUACCAGUGGCGAAGGCGGCCCCCUGGACAAAGACUGACGCUCAGAUGCGAAAGCGUGGGGAGCAAACAGGAUUAGAUACCCUGGUAG